UACGUAGGGUGCGAGCGUUAAUCGGAAUUACUGGGCGUAAAGCGCACGUAGGCGGAUCUUUAAGUCAGAGGUGAAAUCCCAAGGCUCAACCUUGGAACUGCCUUUGAUACUGGGGAUCUUGAGUCCGGGAGAGGGUAGUGGAAUUCCCAAUGUAGCGGUGAAAUGCGUAGAUAUUGGGAGGAACACCAGUGGCGAAGGCGGCUACCUGGACCGGAACUGACGCUGAUGCGCGAAAGCGUGGGUAGCAACAGG
rnacentral:rRNA from 1 species